rnacentral:rRNA from 1 species
GAUGAACGCUGGCGGCGUGCUUAACACAUGCAAGUCGAGCGAAGCACUUUACUUGGAUUUCUUCGGAAUGACGAGUAUUGUGACUGAGCGGCGGACGGGUGAGUAACGCGUGGGUAACCUGCCUCAUACAGGGGGAUAACAGUUAGAAAUGACUGCUAAUACCGCAUAAGACCACAGUACCGCAUGGUGCAGAGGUAAAAACUCCGGUGGUAUGAGAUGGACCCGCGUCUGAUUAGCUGGUUGGUGGGGUAACGGCCUACCAAGGCGACGAUCAGUAGCCGGCCUGAGAGGGCGACCGGCCACAUUGGGACUGAGACACGGACCAAACUCCUACGGGAGGCAGCAGUGGGGAAUAUUGCACAAUGGGGGAAACCCUGAUGCAGCGACGCCGCGUGAAGGAAGAAGUAUUUCGGUAUGUAAACUUCUAUCAGCAGGGAAGAAAAUGACGGUACCUGACUAAGAAGCCCCGGCUAACUACGUGCCAGCAGCCGCCGUAA